GAUGAAGAACGUAGCGAAAUGCGAUACUUGGUGUGAAUUGCAGAAUCCCGUGAACCAUCGAGUUUUUGAACGCAAGUUGCGCCCGAAGCCAUCAGGUUGAGGGCACGUCUGCCUGGGCGUCACAUAUCGUUGCUCGAUGCCUAUCGCAUUGCGAUAGGACUUAGGGCGAAUGAUGGCUUCCCGUGAGCGUUGUUGCCUCGCGGUUGGUUGAAAAUCGAGUCCUUGGUAGGGUGUGCCAUGAUAGAUGGUGGUCGAGUUAGCACGAGACCGAUCAUGGGUAACUCCACCAGAAUUGGGCUCGGUGACCCACAUGCGUCCCUUGGAUGCUCCCUAAGGAGACCUCAGGUCAGGCGGGGCUACCCGCUGAGUUUAAGCAUAUCAAUAAGCGGAGGA
rnacentral:misc_RNA from 1 species